CCUUGAGCAUACAAGAAGAACAGUUCAUAAUACCACUUAAAAAGUCACCUGUGCUCAGCUUUUUGUUUUUACCUGGAAUUUUUCCUUUCUGUUGCCCACUGCAGUUUGAGAGAGAACCUGGAGUAGAGGCCAUUUGUCUUUAUCCCUUGGAGGCUUAAUGUUUACAUUUUUUAAACGUUCAUUUUUAUAGAUUCCAGGGGUACAUGUGCAGGUGUGUUAACAUGGACAUGCUGCGUAAUGGCUACUAGUGUACCCAUCACCUUAGUAGUGGACAUUAUAGUCAAUAGGUAAUUUUCCACCUUUCACCCUCCUACUACCCUCUCUUUUUUGGAGUCCCGGGAGUCUGUUCUUUCCCUCUAUAUGUCCAUGUGUACCCAUUGUUUAGCUUCCACUUACGAGUGAGAACGUGUGAUACUUCAUUUUCUGUUUCUGAAUUAUUUCACUCAGGGUGAUGGCCUCCAACUCCAUCCAUGUCACUGCGAAAGACAUGACUUCAUUAAGGCCUAGAUAUUUCUGAUCUGAUAUGCUCAAAGAAGUUCAGAAACAAAAUGAGUAUCUCCUCAGGACUCCUUUUCAGCCUGUAAAGAUCCUUCACUGGCUCUUUAGAAUUUCUUUCAUGACUCAGGAUUCUUCUGAGAAUUUAGGGAUAGGUGGAAGUGGCUUCUGAGUGAUGAGUGGGAGCAGAUUUUCAAGGUGGUUUAGGUCUAGAUUAAGUAGCCCAUCAAGUCUCCACUGCUCUGAGGGUGGUAUGUCAUCUAAGUGUGAACCUUUAGGGUACAAAAAUGGUAGGAGAACCAUGAGACAAGUAUUAAGGUCACUGAUGUGGCAAUUCUUAUCUUCAUUUGCUUCUACAGUUAAGUCUUCACUGGACUUUUAAUUAAGAUUUUAAAUUUUUGAGGGUGUAGAGUUUCCAUAAAAAGUCAUCAGUGAUAAUAAAUUUUAUUUGACUUUCUACUUAUUCUGGAUUCUAAAACAGAUGGACAUAUAAACAAUUUACCUUUGGAUCAGUUUGAGAGAAGAAACACUAUUCAGAAGAUUUAAAUCCCAGAAUUUAAUCCAUUGCUUUACUGCAAGUUUACAGAACUGCAAGUUUACAUUUGUCUUCACUUUUAUCUGCAGUAGUUGAUAUAUUGACUUUACACGUGAAAACUUAUACUAAUGUUGCUUACUGACCAAAAUUAUUCCUGGGUGGUAAAGAAACCUUCAGAUUUUCUACAGUAACCACUGAUGGGCCUCCUAGCAGCCAUUUUAAACAUAAAUUUGAUGUUGUUGCCCAAACAUCCCCAGUCCGUUUCAACUUUCAGAUCCUCAAGCCUACCAUAGUCCUUUGUGUUUGGUAUUGCUUUCCUAUCCUUAAAUGUGGUAGCUCCUUGAGCACAGGGACCUGUGUUUUGAUUCACUGUGUCUGCAUACUUCACUUCGCAGAACAUUUUCAAGGUCAAUCCAUGUUGUAGCAUGUAUCAGAACUACACUCCUUUUGUGGCUAAAUAUUCCAUUGCCUGCGUAUAGCAUAUUUAUCCAUUCAUUUUUCAGUGGACACUUGGGGUAUUUCCACCUUUUGGCUCUUGUGGAUAAUGUUGCAAUAAAUAUUGGCAUGAAAGUAUCUGUUCAAGUUCAUACCUUCAGUUCUUUAUAUGCCUAAAAGUAGAAUCACUGGAUCAUACAGUAAUCGUGUUUUGCUUUUUGAGGAACUGCCAAACUGUUUUCCACAGUGGCUGUACCAUUUUACAUUCCCACCAGCAAUGUAUAAGGGUUCACCAGAGAACCCUCAGAACAGAACAGAUACUUCACCGGAGAAGAUCAAUGGCAAAAAAAUCAGAAAAGAAAAAAAUGGAAAUGCAAAUUAAAGUUCACAGUGAGAUAUCAUUAGAUACCAAUUAGAAUGGCUAAAGUUUAAAUGGCUGAAAAUACCAGUUGUAUCCUUAGAACAAUAUCUGGCACAAAGUAAGGUGUAGGCAACCAGUAAGUAUUUGUUGAGUAGAUGGAUUCAUUUCUGUAAUUUGCUACCGUGCCCACCUACCUAUUAGCAUCUGCAGUGACAUACUGGUCUUCCUGCCAGUUCUUCUAGAUAAACUCUCCAAGGCCAGACCUUCCACUUGUAUUCCUCUUCCAAACUCUGUCACCUUGUGCCUGCUAAGACAAGCAGUUCUCUCCUCUCCUGCAUCAUCAAUUUUCCCCUCUUCUGGGUCAUUCCCCUCAGUAACAAACAUACUAUAGUUACCAUCUCUGAUUCUCUCUUUCCUUUUACAAUUUGGGAGUUGUCUAAACCAUAUACCUGUGACCAAAUGAUUUUUGACAAGGUUUCCAAGUUUGUUCAAUGAGGAAAGAAAAAUCUUUUCAACAAAUGAUGCUGGAAUAACUGGAUUUCCACAAGCAAAAGAGUGAAUUCAGAGCCCUAACUCACACCAUAUACAAAUGUUUACUCCAAAUGGAUCAGUGAAGAAUGGAUCAGACUUUUAGAAGAAACAUAGGGGUGUACUUCAUGACCUUUAAUUUGCCAAAGGGUUCUUAAGACACCAAAAGCAUGAAUUACAAAAGAUAAAUUGGACUUCAUCAAAAUUAAAAUUAAAAAAUUUUUAUGCACAAAAUUAAAAAUAUUUGUGCAUCAAAGGACAUUAUCAAAAAAAGUAAGGCAAUCUACAGAAUGGGAGAAAAUACUUGUAAAUUAUAUAUCUGAUAAGGGAUUAAUACCAGAAUAUAUAAAGAACUACAAUUUAACAAAAAGUCCAAUUAAAAAUGGGCAGAGCAUUACUAAUUUCUUUAAUGAAGAUACAUGAAUGGCUAACAUAUUUUGUAAAGAGACUCAGAAUCAUUAGCCAUCAGGGCAAUGCAAAUUAAAACCGUAAUGAGGUACCACUUCACACUUACUAGGAUGGCUCUACUCUUUUAAAAAGUGGAAAGUAAGUGUUGGCAAGGAUAGAAAUCAGAAACCAGAAUGCACUGCUGGUGGGAAUGUAAAAUGGUACAGCCACAUGGAAAACAGUUCAGCACUCCCUCAGAGCUAAACAUAAAAUUACCAUGUGACCCCUCAUUUCUACUUUUAGAUGUAUAGUCAAAAGAAAGUAGGGAUUUGAACAGAUACUUACAUGCUCAUAUUAAUUGCAGCAUUAUUCACAGUAGCCAAAACUUGGAAACAACCCAGAUGUCCAUUGAAAAGUGAAUGGAUGAAGAAAAUGCAUCAUAUAUGGGACAGUGGCAUACUAUACAGCCAUAAAAGGAAUGGAGUUUUGAUACAUAGAACAUGAUGAACCUUGCAGAUGUUAUGCUAAGUGAAAUAAAUAGACACAAAAGGACAAAUAUAUGUUCCACUUACGUGAAAUACCAUGAAUAGAGAAAACCAUGUUCUGAGCUGUGGACUUUUAUACCUGGAUGUCUACUCUGAGGCCAUCAAAAGAACUCACUCAUAGAUCAGUGUGCCUCAUUUCAUAGUCUGCUUUGGAUUCCCACACACCCACUGAUCCAAAGUCUGUGGAAUAAGGAGGCAUCUUUCAGCAAAGAAGGCAGACAUGAAAGUGUACAUUGUGAUCUCUCUAAUUGUUACGAAGUUGAAGAACUGGCCAAACUGAUGUAUGUUGACAGGAAUCAAAACAGGGGCCACCUGUGAAGGGGUGGACAGUGUUAUCUGAAAAGUUGCAGGGGAGAUUAUCUAUGUUAAUGGACAUGAGCCAUACAUUGAGAGGGCUGCUGGCUACUGAAAGGAAUAUAAAAUUUUAAAAAUUUGUGAAAUCAUGCAGUUAACAUCUGCACACUUCACUGUAUUUUAAGUUUUUAUUAAUAUAAAAGAAUAAGAAAACAGAAUAGUAUUCCUGUUAAACUAUAAUAGAGAAAAGUAUGCUUUAUUUACAAAUUUCUCCCACUAGCCGAUCAUACAAUUGACCAAUUCAGGGUGCCCACUGCUGGUUGGAUGCCAGGCGGAAUGUCAGGGUGUUCUCUGGUGUCUGUUGUGGCUGUGGGAUCCAUGGUUACUGGGCGGAGCCCUAUGGUGGCUGUGGUGCCAUGGAGGGGCUGCAAUCUUCUGUGGAGCUGGACCCUGCGCUGACUCCUGGGAAGCUGGAUGAGGAGAUGGUGGGGCUGCCACCCCAUGACCCGAGUCCUCAAGUCACUUUCCACAGCCUCGAUGGGAAGACAGUGGUGUGUCCACACCUCGCGGGCUUACUGCUGAGUCUCUUACUUUUAUUGACUUUGUCUCUUAGGAACCGACUCUGUGUAAGAGGUGAAAGGCAACUUGCAGAAACACUGCAUUCACAGGUGAAGGAGGAAUGCCAGCUCACUGGCAAGAAAACAGAUUGUAGAGACUGAGGCAUCUUUAAAAGAUGUCAGGGUACAGAAAAUGUCUUUCAACACCCCCGGCUUUGUAGAUGCUUACAAGACGGUAAAUAGCACCAAUGCGAUGCUGAUGGAGAAAUUCAUGUCCCUGAUUUAAGAACUGAAAGAAGAGAGAUCCAGACUCUCCAGGCAACAAGAGAAGCUGGUAGAGAUGCUAACAACACUGGAGGCCCUGGGAGAGGCCAUGAGAGCCACCCAGUCACGAGGAGCUUUUCUACACCUGCCAGGCAGCUGAGAGCCAAGCCCUGCUGCUCCCUCCCCCACGAGGGGGCUGGGUCUUAGAGCAGCACUGUUCUCUCCCCUCCACUCAGGCCUCCCGAGCUGCCAGGCUCUGAUUCCACACUGACUCUAUCUGAGUAGUCCUUGAGGUCACUGGAUCCGGGGCACCCCACCCCUGGCCUGGAGUUCCUCCUCCUCCUCACUGUAACACCGCAGCCAGCUCCUCAAUGGGCGGUGCCUCCAAAUCUAAAGAAUACGGAGGUCCUGAAGCACACCAAGAAAUGGGGGACUUUCUCUUCACAGAAAGUUUGAAUUCUGUCUCAAUGAGACAGAAUGCCAUACUUGAGCACCUCAUCUUUUGCUCAAAUUGAAAUGUCAUCAAACUGUAUUUCUGAAGUCAACGAUCUGUAAAUAUGAUUUAUGUAUUAAUCUCCUAAGUGAACAAUUUAUAUUUUACCAUCUACAUAAUUAUUGUAUUAUGCUUUAAAAAUAUAUUUAGUUUAUCAAUAAAGACAUUCAGUACUCAA